rnacentral:rRNA from 1 species
UACGGGGGGGCAAGCGUUGUUCGGAAUUACUGGGCGUAAAGGGUUUGUAAGGUGGCUUGUUAAGUCAGACGUGAAAUCCCUCAGCUUAACUGGGGAACUGCGUCUGAUACUGGCGAGCUUGAGUGCAGGAGAGGAACGCGGAAUUCCAGGUGUAGCGGUGAAAUGCGUAGAUAUCUGGAGGAACACCGGUGGCGAAGGCGGCGUUCUGGACUGCAACUGACACUGAGAAACGAAAGCCAGGGUAGCAAACGGG